rnacentral:rRNA from 1 species
AUUGAACGCUGGCGGCAGGCUUAACACAUGCAAGUCGAGCGGAGAUGAGGUGCUUGCACCUUAUCUUAGCGGCGGACGGGUGAGUAAUGCUUAGGAAUCUGCCUAUUAGUGGGGGACAACAUUCCGAAAGGAAUGCUAAUACCGCAUACGUCCUACGGGAGAAAGCAGGGGAUCUUCGGACCUUGCGCUAAUAGAUGAGCCUAAGUCGGAUUAGCUAGUUGGUGGGGUAAAGGCCUACCAAGGCGACGAUCUGUAGCGGGUCUGGGAGGAUGGUCCGCCACACUGGGACUGAGACACGGCCCAGACUCCUACGGGAGGCAGCAGUGGGGAAUAUUGGACAAUGGGGGGAACCCUGAUCCAGCCAUGCCGCGUGUGUGAAGAAGGCCUUAUGGUUGUAAAGCACUUUAAGCGAGGAGGAGGCUACUGAGACUAAUACUCUUGGAUAGUGGACGUUACUCGCAGAAUAAGCACCGGCUAACUCUGUGCCAGCAGCCGCCGUAA